AGCAGGCAUUGCGCCAAAUACAACAGGAACUACGGAGGCCGAAAGGAGGGGGUACACCUUCCUCGGUCCUUUCCCUCCCAGAAGCCCGCGGGCGGCUUGGAACCCCCGUCGGUAUCAUGGCCGCGGGAGCCGGGACAGCGGGCUCUGCUUCCGGCCCGGGCGUUGUGCGUGACCCGAUGGCGUCACAGCCAAGGAAACGGCCCAGUCGGGAGGGCGGGGAGGGCGCACGGCGAUCAGGCACGAUGGCGGGAGGAGGCGGGAGCAGCGACAGCGGCGGGCGGGCGGCAGGCCGGCGGGCAUCGCGCAGUGGCGGGCGGGCUCGACGGGGGCGGCACGAGCCGGGUCUGGGAGGCGCGACGGAGCGGGGCGCGGGGGAAACGCGGCUGGAGGAGGCAGUCAACCGCUGGGUGCUCAAGUUCUACUUCCACGAGGCGCUGCGGGCCUUUCGGAGUAGCCGGUACGGGGACUUCAGGCAGAUCCGGGACAUCAUGCAGGCGUUGCUUGUCAGGCCCUUGGGGAAGGAGCAUACGGUGUCCCGGUUGCUGCGAGUUAUGCAGUGCCUGUCGCGCAUUGAAGAAGGGGAAAAUUUAGACUGCUCCUUUGAUAUGGAGGCUGAGCUCACACCCCUGGAAUCAGCUAUCAAUGUCCUGGAGAUGAUUAAAACAGAAUUUACACUGACAGAAGCAGUGGUCGAAUCCAGUAGAAAACUGGUCAAAAAGGCUGCUGUCAUUAUUUGUAUCAAAAACAAAGAAUUUGAAAAGGCUUCAAAAAUUUUGAAAAAAUACAUGUCCAAGGACCCUACAACUCAGAAGCUAAGAACUGAUCUCCUGAACAUUAUCCGAGAAAAAAACUUGGCCCACCCUGUUAUCCAGAACUUUUCCUAUGAGACCUUCCAGCAGAAGAUGUUGCGUUUCCUGGAGAGCCACCUGGAUGACACAGAGCCCUACCUCCUCACGAUGGCCAAAAAGGCUUUGAAAUCCGAAUCUGCUGCUUCAAGUGCUGCAAAGGAGGAAAAGCAGCCAGUCCCAGAGGCAGUGGACAAGCCACUAAGAGAGCCUUCAAGACAGCCUCGGGACCCUCCGACCACCAUUGGGAUCGGGACUCUAAGAGCAGCUUUCAAAGCUCUGUCCACUGCACAAGACUCAGAAGCAGCUUUUGCAAAACUGGACCAGAAAGACCUGGUACUUCCUAAUCUACCAUCCCCGUCAUCACCAACCCACAAAAACAAGAGACCCAGGAAAGAUGAAAAUGAAAACUCAGCUCUCACUGAGGGUGAGGGAGGCUCAGAACUGCAGCCCAAGAGCAAUCGCAUGACAAUAAGCAGAUUGGUUUUGGAGGAGGACAGCCAGAAUUCUGAGGCCAGCCCAGGCCUCCACUCCUCCCCGGAGCCCAUGUCGGCAUCACCAUCCAAGUCCAGAGCUCUCAACCAACCCCAUACAGGGGAGAAGAAUCCCAAGUAUGAAGACCUUCUUUGUAGCAGUUUUGGGGCUGGUUGGCGGUCCUGGUUGGGCCUGGUUUUGCUUCCGUGAAUGAAGUUACUUCAGCUAAGUUGCUCUCCACCAAGGCUUGCUCAGACUGCUAGAACGAGACUGGAGCAGGGAGUGACUGUAGCAGUCCUUGAGUUCCCACGCCCCUGUAGGCUACACAGCACUGCCCUAGGGCGGGAGUAGGGAGGGAGGGUUUCUGAGCCUUCUGCCUGUCAAUCUAAGUGCUUCAAUGACUAUUUAUUAGUCUAUUUGUGAAAUUUGUCUGAGUUGGGCCUCAUCAUACUUGAUAUUUAUGAAAGAAUGAAUAUAGUUUUGUACCUAUGGGCGUAUGAGACUCAGCAAAUUCAGUAAAGAUUUCCUAAUCUCAUGUUCUGCCAGUUGCUAUGGAGCAGUGGUUAGGAUAUGUUUAUUCUAUUUUAUUCCCACCGUGACUGCCAGCCCAGGUUUUGAGUUUGGCUCCUUUCUGCCCUGCGUGGAUCCACCCUGCAGCACUGCUCUGCUCUCUCUCUCUGGAACAUACUGUUUGUUUCUCCUGUGCCUUCACUUCCUCUCAUUCCUAUGGUGGACUGUCAUUCUCCAUCAUUGCCUGUCAGAUUUCCAUGUGUUACCUAACUGACUCUCCAGUGCUAUCUCUGUGAGAGGAUGUUAGCCCUGUUGUGUAGUUGAGGAAGGCUCAGAAAAGUUAGUAGCUCACCUGACGUCACACAGCUGAAAAUAGCAAACCUGGGCUUUCGGUGUUAGCACCACAGCUGGGCCCAUACAUCAGUUGCCUCUCUUGACACUCUUAGCUCCCUGUGAGCUCUUCUCCGCUGCCCCUGUGUAAGUCAUCCGCCUCGCUGCUCUCCAAGGCCAUUGCCAUCUCUGUACACUGCUGGGUGCUGUGACUGUUUGGAGAGCCUGCUCUGACCUGCAAUGUGAAGGCCAUGGCCUGUGAUAACGUGGUUUCCUCCGGACAGAAUCGCACUGUAUGCGCCACUCUUGCAUGCAGAAACGAGCCGCAGGCAGACAUAGUUAAUGCAGCUCUACACUCCUCGUCCAUUCAUUUCUCACAGAAACCCUGUGAACUGUAGACACUGCCCCCAUGAGCAGCUGAAGAAACAAGACCAUUGCAGAUGCAGUAGGAUUGGAAACGGGAGUGUGUAUGACCGUUGCAGACGUGCCCCGUGCUGUAAUAUGUCCAGGGUCUAAAGUUUGAUGAGAACUGCGCAGCAAGAAUUGAGUAUCCAAAGACAAGUGGAACGGUCCUAACGGGCUUGAAGAAAAGGAAAUUUGGGUGGAAGAGGAC